rnacentral:pre_miRNA from 1 species
CUUGUACUCCCUCCGUCCGAAAAUACUUGUCAUUGAAAUGGAUGUAUCUAUAUGUAUUUUAGUUCUAGACACAUCCAUUUUGAUGACAAGUAAUUCCGGACGGAUGGAGUACUUG